rnacentral:rRNA from 1 species
AUUGAACGCUGGCGGCAUGCCUUACACAUGCAAGUCGAACGGCAGCACGGGGGCAACCCUGGUGGCGAGUGGCGAACGGGUGAGUAAUACAUCGGAACGUGUCCUCUUGUGGGGGAUAACCAGUCGAAAGAUUGGCUAAUACCGCAUGAGAUCGCAAGAUGAAAGCGGGGGACCGCAAGGCCUCGCGCGAGAGGAGCGGCCGAUGUCGGAUUAGCUAGNGGUGGGGUAAAANCCUACCAAGGCGACGAUCCGUAGCUGGUCUGAGAGGACGACCAGCCACACUGGGACUGAGACACGGCCCAGACUCCUACGGGAGGCAGCAGUGGGGAAAUUUGGACAAAUGGGCGCAAGCCUGAUCCAGCCAUGCCGCGUGUGU